rnacentral:rRNA from 1 species
GUGAGGAAUAUUGGUCAAUGGGCGAGAGCCUGAACCAGCCAAGUCGCGUGAAGGAAGAAGGAUCUAUGGUUCGUAAACUUCUUUUGCAGGGGAAUAAAGUGCAGGACGUGUCCUGUUUUGUAUGUACCCUGAGAAUAAGGAUCGGCUAACUCCGUGCCAGCAGCCGCGGUAAUACGGAGGAUCCGAGCGUUAUCCGGAUUUAUUGGGUUUAAAGGAUGCGUAGGUGGUUUGAUAAGUCAGCGGUGAAAGUUUGCAGCUUAACUGUAAAAAUGCCGUUGAAACUGUCGGACUUGAGUGUAAAUGAGGUAGGCGGAAUGCGUGGUGUAGCGGUGAAAUGCAUAGAUAUCACGCAGAACUCCGAUUGCGAAGGCAGCUUACUAAGCUACAACUGACACUGAAGCACGAAAGCGUGGGGAUCAAACAGGAUUAGAAACCCUAGUAGUCC